CCUACGGGAUGCAGCAGUGGGGAAUCUUUCACAAUGGGGGGAACCCUGAUGCAGCAACGCCGCGUGGGUGAAGAAGUACUCCGGUAUGUAAAGCCCUGUCAGCAGGGAAGAAAAUGACGGUACCUGACCAAGAAGCCCCGGCUAACUACGUGCCAGCAGCCGCGGUAAUACGUAGGGGGCAAGCGUUAUCCGGAUGUACUGGGUGUAAAGGGAGCGUGGACGGCAAGGCAAGUCUGGAGUGAAAGCCCGGGGCCCAACCACGGGACUGCUUUGGAAAAUGUGUUGCUGGAGUGCAGGAGGGGUAAGCGGAAUUCCUAGUGUAGCGGUGAAAUGCGUAGAUAUUAGGAGGAACCCCGGUGGCGAAGGCGGCUUACUGGACUGUAACUGACGUUGAGGCUCGAAGGCGUGGGGAGCAAACAGGAUUAGAUACCCCAGUAGUC
rnacentral:rRNA from 1 species